rnacentral:tRNA from 1 species
AAGGCUUUUAUCUUAAUUAAAGUUCCUGAGUUGCAUUUAGGAGAUGUGGGUUAGUAUCCUGCAAGUCUUA